CUACGGGUGGCUGCAGUGGGGAAUUUUGCACAAUGGGGGAAACCCUGAUGCAGCGACGCCGCGUGCGGGAAGAAGGCCUUAGGGUUGUAAACCGCUUUCAAUUGUGAAGAAGGGAUGAGAGUUAAUAGCUUUCUGACUUGACGGUAGCAUUAGAAGAAGCACCGGCUAAUUUCGUGCCAGCAGCCGCGGUAAUACGAAAGGUGCAAGCGUUGUUCGGAUUUACUGGGCGUAAAGAGAUCGUAGGUGGUUUAUUAAGUCGGAUGUGAAAUCCCGGAGCUCAACUUCGGAACUGCAUUCGAUACUGGUAGGCUAGAGUUCGGGAGGGGAAAGCGGAAUUCCGUGUGUAGCAGUGAUAUGCGUAGAUAUACGGAGGAACACCUGAGGCGAAGGCGGCUUUCUGGACCGAUACUGACACUGAGGAUCGAAAGCGUGGGUAGCAAACAGGAUUAGAUACCCUAGUAGUC
rnacentral:rRNA from 1 species